GAAGGUUACUAAACUUGAACAGGGCCAGAAGGAUUUGGUUUGCAGGAUACAGCUUGACCAUACCGAAGCUGACAUCAAUAAUGCAGAUAAACAACUUGAACAAGACAAGUACAUAUCAUGUCAAUUUGCAGAGCUGGACAAAGCGAGUCAGAAAGAGCUUUCUGACUUAAGCAAAAGAAUUGAAAAAGAACAGAUUGUCCAACUUAAGAAAGCCUUAUCUGAUCAGCGUGCUCUUUUUAACCAGCUGAUAGCAAAUGAACGUGCAGUCGCAAAUGUAGUCUUACAAAAGACCCAGGAAGAAUAUGAUGAGAUCAUAAAGAACGAGCGAGAAAUAAUUGACUCCUUGAAUAAUCAGGCAAACAUACAAUUGUUUGAGUGGAAGAAUGACUACUCAAAGCUAAAGUCCCUGAUUGAGAACUUUACCCCUUUGAUCCAACUACAAGAGGCUCGUGGCAAUAUUAGUUUCAAGUGUUUUGACUUAAAGGAACAAGACGAAGAUAUCAUUCCUAUGACACGGUAGUACUUCUAUACAGCAGUGGACUACUACUGUCCACCGGAUAUGGUUAUGAAAUUUUUUGUUCACAAAGUGCCUGAACUGUAUUCUGAUCUGCAGAAGUAUGACCUUCGGGCACAUUUGAGACAGUUUAGAAUUGCAAGUCCAGCCACUAGUGUUGAGUACGCUGAUUUCAUGAAAGGUUUGUUUUAUCAUGGAUACAUAGGAGACGCAGAGGUAUACUACCUCGAUCCUACUCCUUAGAGUGAUCCAUGCACUGGAUUGCAAAAGAUUGUUGGAGCAGAAGAUGUAAAACAAAUGGUGCGUGCUCAUGCUCAAGUGGGUACUAAGAUUUGUCAUCUCUACCUAGUGAGCACAUAUGAAGACCAAUGCCCGGACGAGGACAUGGAAACAUCUAAUGCAAACGUUAUGGAUGUCUAAUGCAGGACGAGGCAGCUGGGCAUAUUUCUUAGUUAUAGAAUUGAGACUGAAUUGAAUUUUAAAUAAUUUGAGCAUAUUUUUCUCUAUUUUUAUCUUAUGUAAAGAAUUUGAGACUGAUUUGAAAUCCUGUUUUUUGAGCAUA